rnacentral:lncRNA from 1 species
UCUAGAUAUUAAUAUGAUGCAUGAGAUGAAUGACAACAAAUCAAUAUAUUUGUUGAUGAAGGCAGCUUCUAGGUACUGACUUAGAAAUUACACCAAAACUUAUGUACAAUUAAUAAAAAUCUCAUAUUUUCCAGAAUUACACUUCCAUUUUUAUAGAAACCAUAGCAGAAAGAAUCACCUCAAAAUCGUUGGUAUAGAAAUAGUUAUGGCAUUUUCUAUACAGCUGCUCAAAUUUCCAUCUAAACAGAACAGAAAAAAGUUUCCUAUUAAAUGACUAAUCAAACGAAUGAAUUUUCUGAUGAAACUCUCCAGAUAUAAAGUUAACAUUCUAAAGUUUCUAUAGACACUAAUUUUACUCAAUUUGGACUUCUCUAGCUCAAGUUGUGAAACACACAAUUAGCAACAAAUUUCUGAAUCCUAAGCCCGAUUUCUGCUUAAAACAGUUUCGGGCAGGCCAUAUUAAGUUCAACAUAUCUCACGUUAUACUCAACCAAAAAUUAUGAAAUUUUUCAGACAUAUACUAAAUAUAUAAAUGAACAACUUUCAUGUUUAACUCUCUGCUUGGUUCAGCCUCUAAAUGCCUCAAAAUGUCAGCACAAAAACCAGGUCACCUGCUGAACCAAAAACAGAGCAGCAGCAAAAUCGAACCUCAUAAGUUCCUACUCACUCAACAAUCUGCAAAACCAUUUUACAGAGAUGUUCUUGAGACAUAUACCUACAACUUUCAUGUUUGAAAAUUUUCGAGAUAAAGCCUCUAAGGUCACGAAAUCAUAAGUGAAAAAUCUGCCCAGAAAUUUCAGCUUCAAGAUCACAAGUAAAAGCAUGUUUACUCUUGAUUAAACAAUUCCAAAACACAUAAUCAUCAACAAUUUCAUAUCAUUAACCCUAAUU